rnacentral:rRNA from 1 species
AGAGUUUGAUCCUGGCUCAGGAUGAACGCUGGCGGCGUGCUUAACACAUGCAAGUCGAACGAAGCACCUUGAUUUGAUUCUUCGGAUGAAGAUCUUGGUGACUGAGUGGCGGACGGGUGAGUAACGCGUGGGUAACCUGCCUCAUACAGGGGGAUAACAGUUAGAAAUGACUGCUAAUACCGCAUAAGACCACAGCACCGCAUGGUGCAGGGGUAAAAACUCCGGUGGUAUGAGAUGGACCCGCGUCUGAUUAGGUAGUUGGUGGGGUAACGGCCUACCAAGCCGACGAUCAGUAGCCGACCUGAGAGGGUGACCGGCCACAUUGGGACUGAGACACGGCCCAAACUCCUACGGGAGGCAGCAGUGGGGAAUAUUGCACAAUGGGGGAAACCCUGAUGCAGCGACGCCGCGUGAGCGAUGAAGUAUUUCGGUAUGUAAAGCUCUAUCAGCAGGGAAGAAAAUGACGGUACCUGACUAAGAAGCACCGGCUAAAUACGUGCCAGCAGCCGCGGUAAUACGUAUGGUGCAAGCGUUAUCCGGAUUUACUGGGUGUAAAGGGAGCGUAGACGGAGUGGCAAGUCUGAUGUGAAAACCCGGGGCUCAACCCCCGGGACUGCAUUGGAAACUGUCAAUCUAGAGUACCGGAGAGGUAAGCGGAAUUCCUAGUGUAGCGGUGAAAAUGCGUAGAUAUUAGGAGGAACACCAGUGGCGAAGGCGGCUUACUGGACGGUAACUGACGUUGAGGCUCGAAAGCGUGGGGAGCAAACAGGAUUAGAUACCCUGGUAGUCCACGCCGUAAACGAUGACUACUAGGUGUUGGGCAGCAAAGCUGUUCGGUGCCGCAGCAAACGCAAUAAGUAGUCCACCUGGGGAGUACGUUCGCAAGAAUGAAACUCAAAGGAAUUGACGGGGGCCCGCACAAGCGGAGGAACAUGUGGUUUAAUUCGAUGAUACGCGAGGAACCUUACCCGGGCUUAAAUUGCAAAUGAAUUAUGGGGAAACCCAUAGGCCGUAAGGCAUUUGUGAAGGUGCUGCAUGGUUGUCGUCAGCUCGUGCCGUGAGGUGUCGGCUUAAGUGCCAUAACGAGCGCAACCCUUAUCUUCAGUUACUAACAGGUCAUGCUGAGGACUCUGGAGAGACUGCCGUCGUAAGAUGUGAGGAAGGUGGGGAUGACGUCAAAUCAGCACGGCCCUUACGUCCGGGGCUACACACGUGUUACAAUGGGGGGUACAGAAGGCCGCUACCUGGUGACAGGAUGCCAAUCCCAAAAACCUCUCUCAGUUCGGAUCGAAGUCUGCAACCCGACUUCGUGAAGCUGGAUUCGCUAGUAAUCGCGCAUCAGCCAUGGCGCGGUGAAUACGUUCCCGGGCCUUGCACACACCGCCCGUCA